UACGAAGGUCCCAAGCGUUAUCCGGAAUUAUUGGGCGUAAAGAGCAUGUAGGCGGUUUACUAAGUUCGAUGUGAAAGCUCUAGGCCUAACCUAGAAAUUGCAUUGAAAACUGGUGAACUAGAAUACUGGAGGGGCAAGUGGAAUUCCAUGUGUAGCGGUGGAAUGCGUAGAUAUAUGGAGGAACACCAAUGGCGAAGGCAGCUUGCUGGACAGUAAUUGACGCUGAGAUGCGAAAGCGUGGGGAGCGAACAGG
rnacentral:rRNA from 1 species